AAAGUACUCCCUCCGUCCCAAAAUUCUUGUCUUAGAUUUGUCUAGAAAUGGAUGUAUCAAGUCACAUUUUAGUAUUAGAUACAUCCGUAUCUAGACAAAUCUAAGACAAGAAAUUUGGAACAGAGAGAGUAGUUG
rfam:Triticum aestivum genome assembly, contig: Triticum_aestivum_CS42_TGACv1_scaffold_423618_5BS